GCUUAAGUGGUUAGUAAAAGGGUUAAUCUUUGAAUCUUUAUCUUGUCAUAUUUUAAACAUUAUUGUGCUUAGUAUAUACCUUGUUGUUUAACGUAUUUUUGUGUAGUCUGGAUUUGUCUCUUGAUGUGAGAUCACCAUAGAGAUUGAGGUUCUUCACUAAGUCUAGGAGGUCUUGAUUUGAGGAUAAGAAUCUUGGCUGGGGCUAGUUCGCGAGAAAGGUUUUCUCAAAGGCGAAGGGUAGACUCAAACCAAGGAUUUAGAAAUCCUAGAUUUCAAGAAGGGGGCG
rnacentral:lncRNA from 1 species